ACUUUUUCAAAAUAGAUUGUCUGUUCAUCUACUCCAUUUUAUGAAUUUUAGUGGAUGUAAAAUUUAAAUGAUAUAAAAUUCUAAGAUUUUAUAAGCAAAGAUCUUAUCACCCGAGGUUGUUUCCUGGAAAUAACAAUAGAAAGCGUUUGCGGUUUCAUAGUUUAGUUUACACUGAUUAUUGACUUGGGAACAUACUUCUAAUUUUUUUUUGUAGUCCAUUUAAUCACAAUUAUACAGAUUAUCAAAAAUCACAACAAUACCUUCCUUGUUUUGAAUAUCUUCUAAAAAUUUAUAACCAAGUAACUGCUUAGAACUUUUUUUCCACCAUUUUGUUAGCUCGAUUAGUGAAAAUUUUAUUUUGAGAAAUCCAUGUCAUAGACUAUUUAUAGAUUUUAAAAUUUUAAUUGAAUAGUCACAACUAUUUAAUUUGAAUAGUCACAUUCUUCCAAUUUAUAGAUAGUUAUUUUCAAAAGAUACUUAUAAGAAUAGUCACAACUUUUCACUUUUUAAAAGAUACUUAUAUGAAUUUUUAGAAAAGACACAACCUUCCAACAUUGAACUUUUAGAAAUGACACAACCUUCCAAUAUUGAACAUUUAGAAAAGACACCACAUUUUUGACAUCUUUUAGAAAAGACACAACCU
rnacentral:lncRNA from 1 species